rnacentral:rRNA from 1 species
UGGGGAAUUUUGGACAAUGGGGGAAACCCUGAUCCAGCCAUCCCGCGUGUGCGAUGAAGGCCUUCGGGUUGUAAAGCACUUUUGGCAGGAAAGAAACGUCAUGGGUUAAUACCCCGUGAAACUGACGGUACCUGCAGAAUAAGCACCGGCUAACUACGUGCCAGCAGCCGCGGUAAUACGUAGGGUGCAAGCGUUAAUCGGAAUUACUGGGCGUAAAGCGUGCGCAGGCGGUUCGGAAAGAAAGAUGUGAAAUCCCAGAGCUCAACUUUGGAACUGCAUUUUUAACUACCGGGCUAGAGUGUGUCAGAGGGAGGUGGAAUUCCGCGUGUAGCAGUGAAAUGCGUAGAUAUGCGGAGGAACACCGAUGGCUAAGGCAGCCUCCUGGGAUAACACUGACGCUCAUGCACGAAAGCGUGGGGAGCAAACAGG